CGGGGCGCCCCUGAAGCGGGCAGGCGGGCACCGCCCUGGGCCCGGGCACGCCCUCUCAGGGGUGGGCGGGUCUGGCGUGUGGCGUCAUCUCGCGAGUGGGCGGGGCGCCCAUGAAGCCGCACGGCGGGCACCGCCCUGGGCCUGGGUACGCCCCCUCGAGGGCGGGCGGGGCCGUCUAUGACGUCAUCCCGCGGUGGGCAGUACAGCCCUGGGGCACGUCCUUUCAGGGGUGGGCGGGCUCUGGCCGCCGGCUGGCAGUUGGGACGUGAGGCGGGCAAGGGGGACGCUCGGGAGCGGCUGGCGGAGGUGGUGGUGGCUUCCGAGCGCUGCCGGUGUGCGGGCCUGCUCCGUCACCCGCCUCUGGGCCUGGGCCGACGGGUGUGUCGGCCGGGGCGUCGGGCGGUGCUGGCCCCGGCCGGGGUCACCCGGGCCUGCGGGCUCCCGCGGAAGGGGAGGUGACGCUCCGCGGGCCUUGCACUUGCCGAGUGCUAGGAAGGCGCUGUUCCGUGCACUGUCGCGGUCGUUUAACGACGACGGGGACAUGUCCAAGGAAGCGCUGCUGAGCGGCUUCACGGUUGUGCGACCGUCGCAGUGCACGCGGGCACACAGCCGGGCCGCGGCCCUAGUCUCGCGGGAGCACCGUGGACGUGCCGCCCGUCGUUAACCGAGACGUCGUUAGGCGGCGCAGGCUGCCUUCAAGGUGUUAGCGCGCGCGCGCGCGCGCACUCCGUCGCGAGUGGUGCGCAGAGGGCGCUGCGUGGGAGGUACCGCUCUGCUGCUCCGGACUCUGAGCUGCCUUAGGGAUGGGAAAGCCCCAGCAGGAUAGGCCUUCCUAUGCGUAUAUGAAAUGAAAGCGUUUCGGCUCAAAUAACGUUCCCCAGGGGGCGCCCAGCAGGUGUCCUCAGCAGGAUGCCAACCACUUCUCUGAAAGGUGCCCGCAUCCCGCUGACUCGCCGUUAACGGUGCUAGGCUAGACCAUGCUUGUGAUUUCUGGGAAGCAAGACAGCUCUUGAUCACUAUGAUUCGGCGGACUCAAAUCAGGAUAAUUCCUAAGUGUUUUUGGGCGUAUUCAGUGAGUUCCAAGGAAGUUUUAAUUGUAACAAUAAGGAGCUGCAGUGACAGAGCCUCGUGUCUUCAGGACAAAACAGCCAUAUCCCACAGGCCACUUUGCUGUGCAGAUAGGAGGACAAAAGCCUGUAAGAAGAAGAGGACUGCCAACCAAAGACUAAACUGCAAUCACAGCCCUGUUCGAGGCACUGAAUAAAAGACUUGCUGCUAGCGUGAACUUUUCCAGUCGGCGGAGCAUUUACAUGCAUUGGUGACUUUGCCAAGUUCUCAUUAGUAAUUCAAGUAGGCUUAAGUUCGGUGAGGGCAAGAACCACAUUUAUUGUGUCUAUCGUCAUAUCCUCAGGCUAGCAUAGUGCCUGCUGCAACGUGAAUGAAUAAACCACACCUCUUUCCUCCUC